rnacentral:rRNA from 2 species
GGACCAAGGAGUCUAGCAUGUGCGCGAGUCAUUGGGACUAUCGAAUCCUAAAGGCGAAAUGAAAGUAAAGCUGAGCUCUGCUCGGUGAGGGAAGAUGGGUGACUUGUCGCCUCGCACUCCCGGGGCGUCUCGUUCUCAUUGCGAGAUGAGGCGUACCUUGAGCGUACACGCUGGGACCC